AUUGAACGCUGGCGGCAUGCCUUACACAUGCAAGUCGAACGGUAACGGGCCUUCGGGUGCCGACGAGUGGCGAACGGGUGAGUAAUACAUCGGAACGUGCCCGAUCGUGGGGGGUAACGAGGCGAAAGCUUUGCUAAUACCGCAUACGAUCUACGGAUGAAAGCAGGGGACCGCAAGGCCUUGCGCGGACGGAGCGGCCGAUGGCAGAUUAGGUAGUUGGUGGGAUAAAAGCUUACCAAGCCGACGAUCUGUAGCUGGUCUGAGAGGAUGAUCAGCCACACUGGGACUGAGACACGGCCCAGACUCCUACGGGAGGCAGCAGUGGGGAAUUUUGGACAAUGGGCGCAAGCCUGAUCCAGCCAUGCCGCGUGCAGGAUGAAGGCCUUCGGGUUGUAAACUGCUUUUGUACGGAACGAAAAGCCUUCUUUUAAUACAGGAGGGUCAUGACGGUACCGGAAGAAUAAGCACCGGCUAACUACGUG
rnacentral:rRNA from 1 species